GCUGGGGUGGAUGAGUGGCGAACGGGUGAGUAACACGUGAGUAACCUGCCCAUCACUCUGGGAUAAGCGCUGGAAACGGCGUCUAAUACUGGAUACGAGCAGCGACCGCAUGGUCAGCUGCUGGAAAGACUGGUUCGGUGAUGGAUGGACUCGCGGCCUAUCAGCUUGUUGGUGAGGUAAUGGCUCACCAAGGCGACGACGGGUAGCCGGCCUGAGAGGGUGACCGGCCACACUGGGACUGAGACACGGCCCAGACUCCUACGGGAGGCAGCAGUGGGGAAUAUUGCACAAUGGGCGCAAGCCUGAUGCAGCAACGCCGCGUGAGGGAUGACGGCCUUCGGGUUGUAAACCUCUUUUAGUAGGGAAGAAGCCUUCGGGUGACGGUACCUGCAGAAAAAGCACCGGCUAACUACGUGCCAGCAGCCGCGGUAAUACGUAGGGUGCAAGCGUUGUCCGGAAUUAUUGGGCGUAAAGAGCUCGUAGGCGGCUUGUCGCGUCUGCUGUGAAAACCCGAGGCUC
rnacentral:rRNA from 1 species